rnacentral:rRNA from 1 species
AGCUUGCUCCUUGGGUGGCGAGUGGCGGACGGGUGAGGAAUACAUCGGAAUCUACUUUUUCGUGGGGGAUAACGUAGGGAAACUUACGCUAAUACCGCAUACGACCUACGGGUGAAAGCAGGGGAUCUUCGGACCUUGCGCGAUUGAAUGAGCCGAUGUCGGAUUAGCUAGUUGGCGGGGUAAAGGCCCACCAAGGCGACGAUCCGUAGCUGGUCUGAGAGGAUGAUCAGCCACACUGGAACUGAGACACGGUCCAGACUCCUACGGGAGGCAGCAGUGGGGAAUAUUGGACAAUGGGCGCAAGCCUGAUCCAGCCAUACCGCGUGGGUGAAGAAGGCCUUCGGGUUGUAAAGCCCUUUUGUUGGGAAAGAAAUCCAGCCGGCUAAUACCUGGUUGGGAUGACGGUACCCAAAGAAUAAGCACCGGCUAACUUCGUGCCAGCAGCCGCGGUAAUACGAAGGGUGCAAGCGUUACUCGGAAUUACUGGGCGUAAAGCGUGCGUAGGUGGUUAUUUAAGUCCGUUGUGAAAGCCCUGGGCUCAACCUGGGAACUGCAGUGGAUACUGGAUGAC